rnacentral:rRNA from 1 species
GACGAACGCUGGCGGCGUGCCUAAUACAUGCAAGUCGAGCGGACCAACCAGGAGCUUGCUCUUGUUUGGUUAGCGGCGGACGGGUGAGUAACACGUGGGUAACCUGCCCGUAAGACCGGGAUAACUCCGGGAAACCGGAGCUAAUACCGGAUAACACCGAAGACCGCAUGGUCUUUGGUUGAAAGGCGGCUUCGGCUGCCACUUACGGAUGGGCCCGCGGCGCAUUAGCUAGUUGGUGAGGUAACGGCUCCCCAAGGCGACGAUGCGUAGCCGGCCUGGGAGGGUGACCGGCCACACUGGGAAUGAGACACGGCCCAGACUCCUACGGGAGGCAGCAGUAGGGAAUCUUCCGCAAUGGACGAAAGUCUGACGGAGCGACGCCGCGUGAGCGAAGAAGGUCUUCGGAUCGUAAAGCUCUGUUGUUAGGGAAGAAGAAGCGCCGUUCGAACAGGGCGGCGCGGUGACGGUACCUAACGAGAAAGCCCCGGCUAACUACGUG